UCGAAUGUAUAUCGAUUUGAGUGAGAUCGAAUUUUUACUUUAAAAUUCAUUCGACUGAGGCGAAUGUUGACUUUGCAAUUAAAAGAGUGGUCGAAUGUAAGUCGAUUCGAACGAGGUCGAAUGUUGAAUUUAAAAUUAGUUCGAACGAGGUCGAAUGUAGUUUCCUGGAUUGGUGUGAUGUAUAAACUUGGUGGAGAAAUGUGAACAUCACAUAUUUUCAUAUUUCGCGUUGUUUAUUCAUUCGUUGGAUAAGAUUACAUGGUUUUUCUUUGUUCAUGCAUACAAUGGAGAAGUCCUAGUCUAUCGAGUCCCGUCGUUUGUCGACCUGGAGAAGUAUUUGAGAGGUAGAGCAGUGAACGUAUACUCGUCUUCAAGACGCUCACUUCGUUGCCUUGUUAAAAACCUCCUUGAGAGAACCCAAUUGGGACAAAACUCGAGUGGGGGAAAAGAGUGCGACUUGGGGGACGUCUAUCCUUAGAAGUUGAAGUAUUUGAAAUAGGUGACGUUCCAAUUGUUUGGUACCAAUUUUCCCUCCAUUGUUUCUAGAUGGAAUGACCCUUUGUUAACUGUCGUUGUGAUAUUGUAUGGGCCGUCCCAAUUGGUCCACAGCUUGCCUUCCCGUGGAUCGUUGCUCGCCUGUGUUUUGUCUUUGACUACAUGCUCCCCGAAUUUGAGUGGUCUGACCUUGGAUUUUUUGUUGUAGUACCGCUCUACCUGUUGUUUUUGGCUACCGUUCUUAUGUAAGUCAUGUCUUUUUGUUCUUCGGCCUCGUGGAGAUCUUGCCUUCUACUUUCAUCAUUGAUUAGCUCGCUCUCAUUUGAGUAUCUCAGACUUGGUUCUUUGACUUCGACCGGUAUCACAGCAUCAGCCCCAUAGACUAGUGAGUAUAAUGUUUCCCUUGUGCUCAUCUUUGGCUUGGUACAGUAUGUCCACAUCACUUCUAGUUGCAUCUCUGUCCAUGGUCCCUUGGAGUUUUCAAGUUUCUUUUUCAUGAUAUUCAAUAUCGUUUUGUUGGAGGAUUCAGCUUGUUUGUUGUCUACAGAAUG
rnacentral:lncRNA from 1 species